rnacentral:lncRNA from 1 species
CUCGCAAUAUGGCGUAGUGGUUUCGCCGCACGUCCCAUUCGACCCGUCUCCUCCUGGGAUGAGCAGGUGAAGAACUGAAUGCAGCACCACACCGUGAAUCCCGGCUACCCAAGGUUACUGUGGAAUCUACGGUCACAGCGACACAGUGAUUCUCUCAGCUUAUAAUCAGCGAACAGUAAGUGUUUCUCUUGCAUGCGUUGCUUAUUUUCUCUCUUUUCAGAUCCUAGAAGUGCUACAUUUAC